rnacentral:rRNA from 1 species
GAGAGGGAGCAUGAGAAACGGCUACCACAUCUAAGGAAGGCAGCAGGCGCGUAAAUUACCCAAUCCUGACUCAGGGAGGUAGUGACAAGAAAUAGCAAACCGGGAACCUCAUGGUUUCACGGUAUUGCAAUGAGAACAAUUUAAAACCCUUAGCGAGAAUCAAGUGGAGGACAAGUCUGGUGCCAGCACCCGCGGUAAUUCCAGCUCCACUAGCGUAUAUUAAAGUUGUUGCAGUUAAAAAGCUCGUAGUUGAACCUCUGUCUGGGGCUAGUUUUGGCUUUGGUCAGGCUAGUUCUAGGCAUCCGCCUACAAGACUUAGAGGGCAUUCAGUUGUUCACUAGGAGGAGUAGGCAUUUUACUUUGAAAAAAUUAGAGUGUUUAAGGCAGGCAAUCGCCCGCAUAUAUUAGCAUGGAAUAAUAGAAUAGGACACUUUUCCAUUUCGUUGGUUAUUGGAAUCGUGUAAUGAUUAAUAGGGACAGUUGUGGGCAUUUGUUUUUAAUUGUCAGAGGUGGAAUUCUUGGAUUUAUUAAAGACAAACUAACGCGAAAGCAUUUGCCAAGGAUGUUUUCAUUAAUCAAGAACGAAAGUUAGGGGAUCAAAGACGAUCAGAUACCGUCCUAGUCUUAACUAUAAACUAUUCCGACUCAAUGUUUGACUGGCUUAUAUAACCAGUUGAGCGUUGUAUGAGAAAUCAAAGUCUUUAGGUUCUGGGGGGAGUAUGGUUGCAAAGCUGAAACUUAAAGGAAUUGACGGAAGAGCACAACCAGGAGUGGAUUCUGCGGCUUAAUUUGACUCAACACGGGGAAACUUACCAGGUUAAAACAUUAGUGGGAUUGACAGUUUGAGAGCGCUUUCUUGAUUGGUUGGGUGGUGGUGCAUGGCCGUUCUUAGUUGGUGGAGUGAUUUGUCUGCUUAAUUGCGUUAACGAACGAGACCUUAACCUGCUUACUAGAUUGGCGAUCAUCAAUCGUUAGCUCUUCUUAGAGGGACUUUGGUUGUUUUAACUCCAAGGAAGUUUGAGGCAAUAACAGGUCUGUGAUGCCCUUAGAUAUCCUGGGCCGCACGCGUCAUACAAUGACUAGUUCAGAAAGUUUUCUCCUGACCCGAGAGGGGAUGGGUAAUCUUGAUAAUACUAGUCGUGUUAGGGAUCGAUCUUUGCAAUUAUAGAUCUUGAACGAGGAAUUCCUAGUAAGUGCGGUUCAUCAGACCGUACUGAUUACGUCCCUGCUCUUUGUACACACCGCCCGUCGCUUCUACCGAGUGGGUGGUCCGGUGAGAUAAUUGAACUUCGCAGGUAACUGAGAGGAAAGAUUAUCAAACCUAUCCACCUCGAGGAAGAAGAAGUCUAACAAGGUU